rnacentral:lncRNA from 1 species
GUCUCUCUCUCAUUAACGAAGUGUAUGAAAAACACUCUCCACAGAGAAAGCUCUCUCUCAUUCACGAAGCCUCUCAGAAACGACAUCCACAGAAGAAAGCGUUUUCUCAUUCACGAUCUCCACAGAAAAAAGGUCUCUGUCAGUGACGAAGCCUCUCCUCUUAGUAACGAUCUCUCUCAAAACGCAUCAAUCCCUCUGAAAAAAGUUUUUUUAAUAUAAGGUAUAUCUGUAUCCACCGUUUGAAGUCGUUGAUGGAAGUGUGGCUUUUUGGGCAACCGUCGAAUGGAGAGGUUUCGAACGGAGAGCUGUUUUCGAUUUCUUUAUUGUGCCUUUAUUUGUUUUCUUCAUUGCCAUUAUUGUGCGAUUUUUUGCGUUUAGGUUUUGGGGCCGGUGGUUCAGAAGUCCGAAAGGUUAGGUUUUUUUGGCUGUUGCCGUUGGGGAUUUCGUUAUUUGGUGCGGUGGUGUGUAUCUGUGCAUUGUGUUUUUGUUUUUCAUCUGAAAGAUAAAACGUAUUUUCACACUUUUUAGGUAGUUUUGUUAUUUGACAUUUGAUCACUGCAUCGUGCUUUGGUUAUUUGACAUUUGAUAUCUGUUAUAACCCAAUUUCUCAUUUGAUAUGUGCUAUUUUAGGUUAGUGUUUGAUGUACGAUAUUAGUACAUCUGAAAAUGGUGCCGUGUACGAUAUUAGCUAUUAUAAUAUGGGAUGGAGAGGAGAAAUUUGAUGGCAAGAGCAUGUCUGACUACACAAAUGUAGGGUAAACAAUGAAUUUGUAUAUUUGUCAUUGUCUUUGUCAUGACAUUGUAUUUAACCUACAAAUUGUUAUUUUCAGGAGGAGUUAGCUGGUUUUAGAAUGAAGUUUAUAUGGGACUGGAUAAUGGAUGAGGACAACGUCAGAAGAAUUGAAACGCUUCACGAUCUUGGAUUGAUUUAGCUCUAGGAAUAUACUGUUGUUUUGGUUCACAUUGUAAUUUACUUUGAAAACAUUAGACAUUGAUUAGAAUUGUGGGAAAUUGUACAUUAUAUUGAAUGUAUACCGCUUAUGUGUUAUUUAAUUAGUAUUGUUCAAACUGUUUUGUAUUUUGGUCCAUGAAUUCGAAGAAUAGGUAUACUGAAUUGGUUGUUCAUGAAGUACUGGAAGUUGUGUUUGAAUAAGAAAAAUGUUUCCAGCUAUGUGCGUAUGUUUGAAUAAGAACAGAAUUUUGUACUGUAACUUUCCAUCCGCAACCAUGUUUUGGUCAAAUGUAUUGUAAAUUGUUGUUGUGGUUGAUUUAUUAUUUUGGGGGAAGGGUGCCAGUGUUGGUUGAUUCUUAUUUAAGUGUUUGGAAGGAUAUGAGUGGUUG